rnacentral:lncRNA from 1 species
AUCGAAUGGGGCUCCUUACAUCUUCAGCACCAGGCUGACUGCCCCCUAUACCAUGUGAUACUAACGAAGAUAUCGACCCAGAUACAGUCGAACUCGUUGAGGGCAUUGUUAACCCUAUAUUCCCAAAACUGACUGCAGGAACGCUCGAAGCAGAUGUUCCAGAGCCUUGAGCCAUGAUAGUAGCGUUACUAAUUGACGCUUGUGUUGGCUGCCCUUCAGGAUUUGGGACAUUGUUGUUAUUGUUUUGAUUGUUAUUUGGUGGUCUAACCAUUUUUGAUCUAGAUUUAACACUAGUUAAAUUUGGUAAAGAUUUACCACUUCUCAAAUGCA